rnacentral:rRNA from 1 species
GCUUGUCUCAAAGAUUAAGCCAUGCAUGUCUAAGUGUAAAUAAGUCUAUACUGUGAAACUGCGAAUGGCUCAUUAAAUCAGUUAUCGUUUAUUUGAUGAUCUCUUACUACUUGGAUAACCGUAGUAAUUCUAGAGCUAAUACAUGCACAAAAUCCCGACUUACGAAGGGAUGUAUUUAUUAGAUACAAACCAACAUCGUGGUGAUUCAUAAUAACUUUGCGAAUCGUAUGCCUCACGGCGACGAUGAAUCAUUCAAAUUUCUGCCCUAUCAACUUUCGAUGGUAGUGUAUUGGACUACCAUGGCGGUGACGGGUAACGAAGAAUAAGGGUUCGGUUUCGGAGAGGGAGCCUGAGAGAUGGCUACCACAUCCAAGGAAGGCAGCAGG